rnacentral:rRNA from 1 species
AUUGAACGCUGGCGGCAGGCCUAACACAUGCAAGUCGAACGAGUGGCGGACGGGUGAGUAAUGUCUGGGAAACUGCCCGAUGGAGGGGGGUAACUACUGGAAACGGUAGCUAAUACCGCAUACCAUCGGAUGUGCCCAGAUGGGAUUAGCUAGUAGUUGGGGUAACGGCUCACCUAGGCGACGAUCCCUAGCUGGUCUGAGAGGAUGACCAGCCACACUGGAACUGAGACACGGUCCAGACUCCUACGGGAGGCAGCAGUGGGGAAUAUUGCACAAUGGGCGAAAGCCUGAUACAGCCAUGCCGCGUGUAUGAAGAAGGCCUUCGGGUUGUAAAGUACUUUCAGCGGGGAGGCGUUACUCACAGAAGAAGCACCGGCUAACUCCGUGCCAGCAGCCGCGGUAAUUC